UCCCAGUGCCAGGAUUUCCUGGUUGUUCGAGCACUAACUUGGGACUUGGAGACACCACCACUCUGCCUUUGGAUGAAUCAUCUCAUGUGCAUGAUCCAGGGGCUGGAAAGGAAGAAUGAAGGCAUCAGGAAGCAGCAGCAGCCAGAAACGACCUGUCCCUGCCAGGGAAGGAUGGAGUGACCUUGUGGCUGCUGCAGAGACUGAAAAUAGGAGGUUUCUGAAGUCUCAGGACAGCUGGCAAAAGAGAAAAUUCAAACAAGGCAUGUUCUCCUUUCUCUGUUUGCUAGGGAAAGGCUUCGUUUGGAAGCAGCCAAGCAGCACAGCAGCCCCAGGAGACAGUGGCUGAUUACCAAGGCUGUGGGGGCUGGCAGGGAGGGCUGCAAGGUUGGAAGCAAACCCGGUGUAGCUGCUGGCACUUGCUCCCUGCAGGAAUAGUGAGUUCAUUUUUGUGCGCUUCCUGAUGCUCGCUCUGCGGUCGGGAGCUGAUAGAAGGCAACGCUUCA